rnacentral:rRNA from 1 species
GGGUCUGGAGGCUGGUCGUGCCACCGGUACGUACUGGUCUCACUGAUUCCUCCUUCCUGAAGAACCGUAAUGCCAUUUAUUUGGUGUUGCGGGGAAACAGGACUGUUACUUUGAAAAAAUUAGAGUGUUUAAAGCAAGCUAACGCUUGAAUACAUUAGCAUGGAAUAAUGAAAUAGGACGAUCGAUCCUAUUUUGUUGGUUUCUAGGAUUGACGUA